AAGUCGUAACAAGGUCUCCGUAGGUGAACCUGCGGAAGGAUCAUUACCCAAAAGGAUACCCUCGUGGUAUACCCCACCCGUGUCUAUCUACUCUUGUUGCUUUGGCAGGCCGUGGUCUUCCACUGUGGGCUCUGCCUGCAUGUGCCUGCCAGAGGACCAAACUCUGAAUUUUAGUGAUGUCUGAGUACUAUAUAAUAGUUAAAACUUUCAACAACGGAUCUCUUGGUUCUG
rnacentral:misc_RNA from 1 species